rnacentral:rRNA from 1 species
CCUACGGGAUGCAGCAGCGGGGAAUAUUGCACAAUGGGCGCAAGCCUGAUGCAGCCAUGCCGCGUGUAUGAAGAAGGCCUUCGGGUUGUAAAGUACUUUCAGCGGGGAGGAAGGUGUUGAGGUCAAUAACCUCAGCAAUUGACGUUACCCGCAGAAGAAGCACCGGCUAACUCCGUGCCAGCAGCCGCGGGAAUACGGAGGGUGCAAGCGGUUAUCGGAAUUACUGGGCGUAAAGCGCACGCAGGCGGUCUGUCAAGUCGGAUGUGAAAUCCCCGGGCUCAACCUGGGAACUGCAUUCGAAACUGGCAGGCUAGAGUCUUGUAGAGGGGGGUAGAAUUCCAGGUGUAGCGGUGAAAUGCGUAGAGAUCUGGAGGAAUACCGGUGGCGAAGGCGGCCACCUGGACAAAGACUGACGCUCAGGUGCGAAAGCGUGGGGAGCAAACAGGAUUAGAUACCCUCGUAGUC